UCUUAUUUUGAGUGAUUGAGGGAUCUGGCCCUAUGAAAUCCGGCAACCAGCAUUUUGCAUUGGUGCUAAUUCCAGCGGUUUUUACCGAAAGAUAAGA
rnacentral:ncRNA from 1 species